CCUACGGGAGGCAGCAGUGGGGAAUUUUCCGCAAUGGGCGCAAGCCUGACGGAGCAACGCCGCGUGAGGGAUGAAGGCCUCUGGGCUGUAAACCUCUUUUAUCAAGGAAGAAGAUCUGACGGUACUUGAUGAAUAAGCCACGGCUAAUUCCGUGCCAGCAGCCACGGUAAUACGGGAGUGGCAAGCGUUAUCCGGAAUUAUUGGGCGUAAAGCGUCCGCAGGCGGUCUUGUAAGUCUGUCGUUAAAGCGUGGAGCUUAACUCCAUUUGAGCGAUGGAAACUGUAAGACUAGAGUGUGGUAGGGGCAGAGGGAAUUCCCGGUGUAGCGGUGAAAUGCGUAGAUAUCGGGAAGAACACCAGUGGCGAAGGCGCUCUGCUGGGCCAUAACUGACGCUCAUGGACGAAAGCCAGGGGAGCGAAAGGGAUUAGAUACCCCUGUAGUCCUGGCCGUAAACGAUGAACACUAGGUGUCGGGGGAAUCGACCCCCUCGGUGUCGUAGCCAACGCGUUAAGUGUUCCGCCUGGGGAGUACGCACGCAAGUGUGAAACUCAAAGGAAUUGACGG
rnacentral:rRNA from 1 species